UAGCAGAUUAAUGGAUGGAAAAUGUAAUGGAUGUAUUAUAUUGAAAUAAAAUAGUACUUGAGGUAUGAACAUGAAAUGUUUUAAAGAUGUUGUAUGGGGUUGUAAUACACCUCAAACCUGAGGGGGUAUUAUGUAAUUUACCCAUUUUAAAAGAAAUGGGUAUAAAAGACACUGUAAAAGAGUUUGGUUAAUUUUAUUCUAAAAAUAAUAUAAUUGUAAAUAAUAACAACAGUGGACAUGGUAGUGAGAUGGUGGCGAUGACGACAAUGGCGAGGGCAGGAGUGGUAAUGGUGGUGAUGCUGGCGGUAGUGGUGAAGGAAAUAUUUGUGAAAACAAGUUUAUUUAAGCAACAUCUACAACAUGCAAUUAACAAUUAAAGGCGGAAUCAUGCUUGUAUGCACUCAAAAACAAAAUUUUACCUAUGAAAUUCAAAGCCUAGUAGUUGGGUGAACCAAGACUCAACUCGAGAACAAAGUGAGUUGAGAAAUAUUAUACCUUUGUUGAUUUCUCUUUGCAUAAGCAAAGGCUAAUCACCCAAGAGAUAGGGGCCUUCAUUCCUUACUUCUUUGCUCCAUGGAUUUCUUGAAAGAGGAUGGUGGAAUGGAUUCUCCAAGUUCCCAAGAAAAGGAACCUCUAUGUCCCCACACCAAGGACAACACUGAUGAGGAGAUGAGUAACCUAGGAAGAUUUAGAUGCUAGUAAAACCUUCCUAGGGUGGCUGGCCUCUUAGAGAGAAAAGGGAGUUUAUGUUCUCAUCUUUUCUCCAAAAGAAACCCUAAAGAUGAAAUGGCUAUAAAGUUGCCUUUAUACCACCUCACAAUGGAGUGGCAAACUUGUAAUUAAGCCAAGUUCACUACACCUCUCUAUAUGGCCGGGCAUUAAGGGUUCAUUGGGCUUUCAAGCCCUUUGUGUUUUCAAGUUUUCAUACAACUUGAGUUAAUUGGCUUGACAUUCAAAUCCCAUUGGGCCUUACGGCCCAAAACUAACCCGAGGUCUAUAACGAACAUAUUCGUUUGAUUAUUUAACAUAUUAAUUAAUCCUAGCUAUAAAUAAUUAAACCAUUUAAUUAUCCUUACUCAUCUCUGUUGUUUCUUCAAUCUCUACCUUACUCGGUGUAUGAUCCAUUAAGUUCCUUUUAGUGAGGCAAUGGGCGAUUGUUACUCUUAACGAUCGAUUGUGAAUUGAAACAUACUUUCAAUUCUCCCUUUAGUGAUUACUCACCUUUAGGGCUUCCACAAACCAUGAGUGACACCUAGCAGUAUGUCAUGGCUAACCAAGCUAAUCAGAAGAGGUGGAGAACCUAUUCAGUUUAGGAUUACAAUGCAAUAUGGUCUUUCUCUAAUACAAUACUCUUUACCACAUUGUUUUGGUUUGAUAGUUUAUUCAUGUCUUCUAUCCAAUGUGAUUCUCUUACUAUAUGAUUACCUUGAAUAUGAUUUGGAACGACUUCCUAAAUCUCAUUGAUACUCUGACUAGAAUUCUUAAUCAUAUCAUAGAGCAUUCUCCCUUAAACGGUUUGAAGGUUAGAGAUCCCUUGCUACGCAUUCACUUGUCUCUAUGGCUAAGUGGCUUAACCCCAACUAUGUCGUGGACACCCUCUGAUGGAGUGACUUUGACAUAGUCAAAGAUCAAGAACCUAACCACAAGACAACUAUAAUGCCUCAGGUCAAAUGACUACUUUGCAUUAUCCCAACCAUGAGUUCUCAUGUGACAUGAGUAUGAGAACUCCCUGUUAAUCGUGUUCAGUGGACUCAUUCUCUACUGAGCACCUACAUGUUUGUCUUGUGUCAGUCACACCAAUGACUCGAGACCAUUCACUUUCCCUAAGAGAAGACAUAACACGUACUGAUCUUAACGGACUAUCAAUGCCCAAUUGGCAAUCCUAUGAUCAUGAACGUUUAUGAUAUGUAUACAAAAGAGAAUGGUCUCAUGAAUCUAACUUCUUUAGAUCACAUUCUCCCAAUUACAUAUUCCUUGAACUUAUCAUUUAAGCAUAUAACAUUUAUAUGAGAUGGCUUCAAACAAUAAUCUUUGCCCUUUAUAUUAAACUAGAUUAGUUUAACAUGUGAAAUGUCUGUAAGGUAUCAUCAUAUGAUUGGUUUUAGGACACAUUUCCAACAAUCUCCCAUGCACUAGAGCCAAUUAGCUUGGUCAUUAGUGAUGAUACCUCUUCUGAAUUCAUUUCAUAAAUAGCUGAGUAGUAGGCCUACACAAUGGAUAUCUAUAUGUUAUCCAUAGAAGCAACCUUGAGAAUAACAACGUCACCAUUAUACAUGAUUCCCAAUCAUGUGGUUCAAUCUCUCAUUUAAGUUCAGAUCUUGAUGAGACCUUGAUUCCUUGGCUUGAGCUAUUUCCCCAUUAGUGUCAUAGUGUCGAUACACUAGAGACACUUUCUGGUUGGAACCGAAUGGAAAAUUCAUAAACUUUCCCAUCCAAACAACAUUGUUCUAAGCUUCUAUAUGGCGAUAUAUUUUGCAUGUAUAAUAGAACACGCUAAGUCACUGCUUAUAACGUUUCCAUCCAAAUAUCUCUUUUAGUCAUAAUAAAGAGAUAUCCAAUUAUCUCUUCAUUCAAAAUGAAGAGACAUCCAAUGACAGAUACAAUAGUAUAUUCAUAAUCUAAUACAUUUACGCUUCCAUUGUGUUACUCUAAUUCUUCCUCAUUCUUGACAAAUCUAUCUUUUAGUGUUUCUUAAAUACUUAAGGACUCACUUAACAAUUGUCGUGGUUCUGAUCCUGGGCUUGCACUGAUAUCAUCUUGUACUGUUCUAUGUAUAACUCAUAUCAAUGUUUUGUUGGAAAUGUGCCCUAAAACCAAUCAUAUGAUGAUACUUUACAGACAUUUCACAUGUUAAACUAAUCUAGUUUAAAAUAAAGGGUAAAGAUUAUUGUUUGAAGUCGUCUCAUAUAAAUAUUAUAUGCUUAAACGAUGAGUCCAAGGAAUAUGUAAUUGGGAGAAUGUGAUCUAAAGAAGUUAGAUUCAUGAGACCAUUCUCUUUCGUAUACAUAUCCUAGACGUUCCUGAUCAUAGGAUUGCCAAUUGGGCAUUGACAGUUCGUUAAGAUCAGUACGUGUUAUGUCUUCUCUUAGAGAGAGUGAUUGGUCUUGAGUCAUUGGUGUGACUGACACCAAGACAAGCAUGUAGGUGCUCAAUAGAGAAUGAGUCCACUGAACACAAUCAACAAGGAGUUCUCAUACUCAUGUCACAUGAGAACUCAUGGUUGGGAUAAUGCAAAGUAGUCAUUUGACUUGAGGCAUCAUAGUUGUCUUGUGGUUAGGUCCUUGAUCUUUGACUAUGUCAAAGUCACUCUAUCAAAGGGUGUCCA
rnacentral:lncRNA from 1 species